GGAAGAGAUAAGUGCUGAAAGCAUCUAAGCACGAAACUUGCCCCGAGAUGAGUUCUCCCUGACUCCUUGAGAGUCCUGAAGGAACGUUGAAGACGACGACGUUGAUAGGCCGGGUGUGUAAGCGCAGCGAUGCGUUGAGCUAACCGGUACUAAUGAACCGUGAGGCUUAACCUUACAACGCCGAAG
rnacentral:rRNA from 1 species